rnacentral:rRNA from 1 species
UACAGAGGUCUCAAGCGUUGUUCGGAUUCAUUGGGCGUAAAGGGUGCGCAGGUGGGUUGGCAAGUUUGAUGUGAAAGCCCCGGGCUUAACCCGGGAAUGGCAUUGAAUACUGCUGAUCUGGAGGAUUGGAGGGGGGACUGGAAUUCCUGGUGUAGCGGUGAAAUGCGCAGAUAUCUGGAGGAACACCGGUGGCGAAGGCGGCAUCCUGGACCGAUACUGACGCUGAGGAGCGAAAGCCAGGGGAGCAAACGGG